AUAAAUAUCGCCACCUUUAUGUAGGUGUGUCUUAUGUAACAGAUACUUAAGCAGCAGUUACAGCAGUGACGUGCUUUUACAUUUCCUAUAAAUAGUAUGGCUCAUUUGAUUUUUUUGUUCUGCCAUCAUCUGAGUGCACAAGUUGCCCAACCUGAACGAAGAUCAAGUGGUCAACCAGAUACAAAAGGAAACACUGGUGUUUCUGCAUUCUUUGGUCCAAAUUUGGCUCCCAAGUUGCCUGUCUAUUUUUUUUAAGGUAAAAUACUUCCACUUUCCCGUAAUUUUUGCGACUAAUUUGAUUCUUCAUCUGAAACACUUCUUCAUUUCUGCCACCAGCUGAGAG